UAGCUGUGUGUUAAACUUUCAGAACAAGUCAAUUCAUCAUAGGCCUGAACAAAUAUCUUGAAGCUCUAAACCAUGGUUUUGGAGUUGGCAUGAGAUUCAAGAUGCAGUUUGAGGUCGAGGAUUCUCCAGAGAAGAGGUUGCCACUUGCCAUGUAUUCAAAAGUAAAUCUCAUUGCUAUUGUCAUGGAAUUGAUCUAAUUUGUCCCUUUUUUUCCCACAUUAUCAGGUUCUCAGGUACAAUAACAGGAGUCGAAGAUAUUUCUCCUCACUGGGAAGAUUCUAAAUGGCGAUCACUGAAGGUUAGUGUAUUUCUUGAUGUUCUUUUGAUUAAAUUAGCAUAUGGAAUUACUCAAACUCUAUGCUGUUCUCGUGUUUUCAGGUUCAGUGGGACGAACCUGCAUCCAUUCCAAGACCUGAAAGGGUUUCUCCAUGGGAGAUAGAACCAUUUGUGGCUUCAGUUCCCACAAGCCUGGUUCAACCAUCGGCAGCAAAAAAUAAAAGGCCAAGAUUGCAUGUUGAAACCCCAGUUCCUGGUUCAACAUUCUUGCAUACCCUUUUUUCCCAAACUUUCUAGCAUUUUUAUGUAUUAGGACUUCAUUUAAUUUUGUUGCUAUUUCCUAUGUGGUAGAUACUCCAAGUUCAACAGCAUCAGCUGUGUGGAAUCCGUCCCGCGAAUCACAUCAAGUAAUGGGCUCUCUUGAAGAACAAAGGAGUGAACAAGUUGACACUGGUGGCACUCUCAUCAGAAACAGAAACGGCAACACUUCUGGAACUCUUUUAGAGGGAGACUGGCUAUCUCCUGAUGUGAAUUCGUCUCUUAAUAUGUUUUCUGAAGAAACAGAAGAGAGCAAAAGUGCAUCGGCUUGGUCUAUUUUUUCAAACUGUUCAGCCCCAAAUUCUGGAAAACGGAGUAAUAGUCGCAUUUCUUGCCUGAAUGAUGGGAGGAAAUUAGAUGCGUCUGCAACUUGCAGAUUAUUUGGUAUUGAUUUGAACAGCCCUUUGACGGGUGCUGCCCUUCUCGAGAAAUCCUCUCUAAAAUCAGUUGAUAAACUAAAUGAUGCUUCUGAAGGAUGCGUCUCAAAUCAACGGCAGCAGUUACAAGUACCAGUAAAGGAGGUUCCUAGCAGACAGAAUCACUCCACUAGAAGUCGCACCAAGGUAUAAUUUCACCUUCUACUUUUAACAACAAAGUAUUAUUGAUUGAGCGUUUACUGAAUUGAAAGAGUAAUUAAUAAUAACUAUUUGUUUCUUUGGUGUGAAAUACUUUGAGAAGGUUCAAAUGCAAGGUGUUGCUGUGGGUCGUGCUGUGGACCUAACUGCGUUAAAGGGAUACGAUGAGCUUAUAAGUGAAAUUGAAGAGAUGUUCGAAAUAAAGGGUGAGCUUCAGCUCCGACAUAAUUGGGAGAUUGUUUUCACUGAUGACGAAGGAGACAUGAUGCUUAUGCGCGAUUAUCCAUGGCUGUACGUAUUAUUUGUAUUUUUCAUCUAGACAUAUCAUCUACUUCAACGGUUAUAUGAUACUAUUAUUUUCUUGCAGAGAAUUCUGUGAUAAGGUGCAGAGGAUUUUCAUCUAUUCUAGCCAAGAUGUGAAAAAAAUGAGAGCAGGAAGCAAGCUUCCUCUAUCUUCGACAGACAACUGAAGGAGAUGCUUUAACUUGGAAGUUGGUGAAGAUUAAAAUUAAAUUAAUUUCACAUUUUCUUGUUCAUCCCUGCUUUUUCCUUUUAAUUUGUUUUUCAAUGGAAAAAGCUUCAGUUUUUCGCUGUUGUAGAGGUCUUGAGGAAUUUCUUGUUUGUUUCUCUGAUUCUGUGUCAUCAAGAUGGAUGGCUAUAGAUAUGGAUGUAGCAUCAGGCUAACAACCAAGAAAACUAGCUGUUUGCGACUAGAAAUUUUACGAGUAAUCGGGGGUGGGAUUAGGAUUAGAAUCUGUGUAUAUCAGAGGUGUUUCCGGUGGAUUUGGAUGUAAAUAUAAAUUUCUUGGCAUCUGGUUUAUAAAUUGCCAGGUUCUUUUGGAAAUGUGUACUUCAAUAAUCCAGGGCAUUUCAUUUUCUUCCUUGCAUGCAUAGUUAAAUUGAAUUCAAGGUUCUGGUUCAAUGGAUAUGUGG
rnacentral:lncRNA from 1 species